AAGAACAGAACGUUUCUGUGGAGCAGGUGAGAGAGAAGGAGGAGUUAGAAAGAUCCGGAGGAGCCAGCCAUGGAGGGCUCCGGGGAGACUUUGUCAAAAACACAAAGCCCUCUUAACGGUGCCUGGGAACGUUAAGAAUACCUUUGUUUCCACAGCCUUCUGGAAUUACCAACUACUUCAAAAGCAUCUUGACUAUUGUAUCCCAACAAAGGAUAAGUAUCCCAACAAAGUCAGGAACCAAAACCCUUGGAAAUUUGCAAACCUCCUUCCAUGCAUCAGAGGGGGCUUCCUGAGAUUCCUGCUAAGCCGGAAACCGCUCGUCUCCAUGGAGUUGAUUGACUCUUAAUUAUUACCGCUUUGGCCACAACUCAAAAUCUCAAGACAUAUGAAGCUGAUGUAAACCUUUAUAUUAGUAUUGCUCUACUAUCAAUGUAUUUCAUAUGAAUUGGCUAACAGGCAGCAUCUUCAGUGACAGCAAAUAGCAAGAGUAGUUCUCCUAUUAUUGAUGCCAGGGAGCAAACUGUACAUUAUUUUUACAAGUGCCUGGGUGAAUGAAAGAUGCAUUACAGACAGAAUCAAUCACUGGAUACAGUGAAAAGAAAGGAGUAUAUGGAAACAUUUGCUGUGAGAAAAUCGCCGAGAGGAUGAAGAAUUACAGACAGCUUUAGUACCUCGUGUGAAAGAACAUGCAUCCUCCUGCCCUGCCCAGCUCCCCAAAAGGGAGCACCAUGAGUGCAGACAAGCUGGAGGGGGGAUAAUUGAGUUCUUAUUAGUAAUACAGAGGAAAUAACAAGCUUGAAUGUGAAGAUGACUAAAACCUGAAGACAUUUUCUCUCUGCUGCUGGCUGGCCAGUUUAUUGUAAAUUCUGUAUGAUUUAUGCACGUGAUUUAUGUAUCUAUAGUGAAAAGUUUCCUUGCCUCAUGCUUUUCCUUGGCAAACUAGCCAUAAUGCUUCUAAUGUUGUAUCAAAAUUACAUAUAAAUAUCAUCCUAAGUACAUCUAUUUUUUACAAUGGUUAUGAAAAUCUGCCGUGUCUUAAAAUGCCUUUCCUGAAAGCAAAUUAAA